GACGAACGCUGGCGGCGUGCCUAAUACAUGCAAGUCGAGCGAAGUUUUUCUGGUGCUUGCACUAGAAAAACUUAGCGGCGCACGGGUGAGUAACACGUAAAGAACCUGCCUCAUAGACUGGGACAACUAUUGGAAACGAUAGCUAAUACCGGAUAACAGUAUUUCUCGCAUGAGAGAUAUUUAAAAGUUGGUUAUGCUAACACUAUGAGAUGGCUUUGCGGUGCAUUAGCUAGUUGGUGGGGUAGAGGCCCACCAAGGCGACGAUGCAUAGCCGACCUGAGAGGGUGAUCGGCCACACUGGGACUGAGACACGGCCCAGACUCCUACGGGAGGCAGCAGUAGGGAAUCUUCCGCAAUGGGCGAAAGCCUGACGGAGCAACGCCGCGUGAGUGAAGAAGGAUUUCGGUUCGUAAAGCUCUGUUGUUAGGGAAGAAUGGAUAUGUAGUAACUAUACAUGUAAGAGACGGUACCUAACCAGAAAGCCACGGCUAACUACGU
rnacentral:rRNA from 1 species